CGAUGAUCUCCAGCUUGCUGGGGGGAUUAGUGGCGAACGGGUGAGUAACACGUGAGUAACCUGCCCUUGACUCUGGGAUAAGCCUGGGAAACUGGGUCUAAUACCGGAUAUGACCUUCCAUCGCAUGGUGGUUGGUGGAAAGCUUUUGUGGUUUUGGAUGGACUCGCGGCCUAUCAGCUUGUUGGUGGGGUAAUGGCCUACCAAGGCGACGACGGGUAGCCGGCCUGAGAGGGUGACCGGCCACACUGGGACUGAGACACGGCCCAGACUCCUACGGGAGGCAGCAGUGGGGAAUAUUGCACAAUGGGCGCAAGCCUGAUGCAGCGACGCCGCGUGAGGGAUGACGGCCUUCGGGUUGUAAACCUCUUUCAGUAGGGAAGAAGCGAAAGUGACGGUACCUGCAGAAGAAGCGCCGGCUAACUACGUGCCAGCAGCCGCGGUAAUACGUAGGGCGCAAGCGUUAUCCGGAAUUAUUGGGCGUAAAGAGCUCGUAGGCGGUUUGUCGCGUCUGCCGUGAAAGUCCGGGGCUCAACUCCGGAUCUGCGGUGGGUACGGGCAGACUAGAGUGAUGUAGGGGAGACUGGAAUUCCUGGUGUAGCGGUGAAAUGCGCAGAUAUCAGGAGGAACACCGAUGGCGAAGGCAGGUCUCUGGGCAUUAACUGACGCUGAGGAGCGAAAGCAUGGGGAGCGAACAGGAUUA
rnacentral:rRNA from 1 species